GAUUUCUUGGACAUAACAAUAAAAGCAUAUACUAAAAUUGGAACGACACAGAGAAUAUUUAGCAUGGCCCCUGCGCAAAGAUGACACACAAAUUCAUGAAGCGUUCCAUAUUUUU
rnacentral:snRNA from 1 species